ACAAUUCACACUCAAUUGACUUCUGGCCAAUAAUGUUUAGGUCGCUUCGUCUCUCUCCUUCGACUUACCUUCCAGUCUCUUACGCUUAAUUUUAUCCAUCCAUACAACUACUACUACCCAAAAAUGUGACACACCUGCAUGUUAUCCCACUUCCACCUGUCUUUUCUCCACUCAAUCGGCUUAUUCGUUAUAUAUUGACACACUUUGUUCUCGGAAUCCAUCCCGCAUACCCUAGACUGGCUUUGGCGCCUCAAUUUGCCUAAUAAAAUAAAUAUGUUUCUCUGGCUCUUUUGUCUUCACAGACUACCCACAACCUCCUGUUUACACCAUAAAACCAUUACUCUGAAACCUAAUCGUCACUCCUGCUUGCUCGAGGCUAAGACUAUCCACCACCUGUUCUUCACUUGCCCUAACAUUUGCAACGUCUGGCGCUACUUUAAUAUUGCAGCCCCAACAUCCUCCACAAAUCUUUUUACUCGUUUACAUCACCACUGUAAACCUUCUCAGGGCACGGACCCUUAUACGGGUAUUGAUGUUCCUGCCUAUCUACUAGUUCCUUUCACACUUUGGCAUGCUUGGCUUAAUCGUAACAACAACAAAUUAACCAUCUCCACAACCAUCUAUCACCCACUUGUCUUCUCUCGUCACUCAUCGAAUAUCGCUUCUUAUCUCCCACGUUCUUUCGCUCGUCUUCACUGCCUCUUCACAUUGCAUAUAUUAAAUGGCAUCCCUCUAACGUCAAUUUCUACAAAUUAAAUACGGAUAGAGCCUUUGAUCCUGACACUUUCCAUGCUGAUACCGAUGGAGUCUUCCGGGACCAUCAUGGUCAUUGGAUCUUAGGAGCUUGCUCGGGAAGAUGGACCUUCAGGAUCCUCCGCAAGUCUUCCAGGAGGGCAGUAUGGUUGCUGACUCCUUGGCAAAUCAUGGACUGCACUUAGUGUUAGAAAAAUAUUAUUUUCUAUUUAAUAUCUCAAAAAUAAAAAGAAUAUUUUUAAUGUUCUUGUUGACUUUAAUGCAAAAGACUUGAUUCUAUUUUAUUAGCCUUAAUGGCAGAAUUCAUGUUGAAUAAAUUUGCCAUUACCAAACGGUAUUAUUGUAUUUAAUUUGGUCACUUGAUGACACUUUAUGGAAUAUAAUUAUUCUUGAAUU